rnacentral:rRNA from 1 species
UACGUAGGGUGCGAGCGUUGUCCGGAAUUACUGGGCGUAAAGCGUGCGCAGGCGGUUUUGUAAGCCAGAUGUGAAAUCCCCGGGCUUAACCUGGGAACUGCAUUUGUGACUGCAUGGCUAGAGUGCGGCAGAGGGGGAUGGAAUUCCGCGUGUAGCAGUGAAAUGCGUAGAUAUGCGGAGGAACACCGAUGGCGAAGGCAAUCCCCUGGGCCUGCACUGACGCUCAUGCACGAAAGCGUGGGGAGCAAACAGG